UAUGUAGGCGUCUUGAAAAGUCGAACGUGAAAUCCCAUGGCUCAACCAUGGAACUGCAUUCGAUACUCUCAAGAUUGAGUAUGGAAGAGGAGAGUGGAAUUCCCGGUGUAAGGGUGAAAUCUGUAGAUAUCGGGAGGAACACCAGUGGCGAAAGCGGCUCUCUGGUCCAAUACUGACGCUGAAAUACGAAAGCUAGGGGAGCAAACA
rnacentral:rRNA from 1 species